rnacentral:rRNA from 1 species
UGGGGGAUAUUGCACAAUGGGCGAAAGCCUGAUGCAGCGACGCCGCGUGGGGGAUGAAGGCUUUCGGGUUGUAAACCUCUUUCGCUAUCGAACAAGGCCCGCUUAGGGUGGGUUGAGGGUAGGUGGAGAAGAAGCGCCGGCUAACUACGUGCCAGCAGCCGCGGUAAUACGUAGGGCGCGAGCGUUGUCCGGAAUUAUUGGGCGUAAAGGGCUUGUAGGUGGCUUGUUGCGCCUGCUGUGAAAACGCGGGGCUUAACUUCGCGCGUGCAGUGGGUACGGGCAGGCUUGAGUGUGGUAGGGGUGACUGGAAUUCCAGGUGUAGCGGUGGAAUGCGCAGAUAUCUGGAGGAACACCGAUGGCGAAGGCAGGUCACUGGGCCAUUACUGACGCUGAGGAGCGAAAGCAUGGGUAGCGAACAGG